AGUGAACGCUGGCGGUAGGCCUAACACAUGCAAGUCGAACGGCAGCACAGUAAGAGCUUGCUCUUACGGGUGGCGAGUGGCGGACGGGUGAGGAAUACAUCGGAAUCUACUUUUUCGUGGGGGAUAACGUAGGGAAACUUACGCUAAUACCGCAUACGACCUACGGGUGAAAGCAGGGGAUCUUCGGACCUUGCGCGAUUGAAUGAGCCGAUGUCGGAUUAGCUAGUUGGCGGGGUAAAGGCCCACCAAGGCGACGAUCCGUAGCUGGUCUGAGAGGAUGAUCCGCCACACUGGAACUGGGACACGGUCCCGGCUCCUACGGGAGGCAGCAGUGGGGAAUAUUGGACAAUGGGCGGAAGCCUGAUCCAGCCAUACCGCGUGGGUGGAGAAGGCCUUCGGGUUGUAAAGCCCUUUUGUUGGGAAAGAAAAGCAGCAGGUUAAUACCCCGCUGUUCUGACGGUACCCAAAGAAUAAGCACCGGCUAACUUCGUG
rnacentral:rRNA from 1 species